AGAGUUUGAUCCUGGCUCAGGACGAACGCUGGCGGCGUGCUUAACACAUGCAAGUCGAACGAGAAUCUGCGGAAAGAGGAUUCGUCCAAUUGAAGCAGAGGACAGUGGCGGACGGGUGAGUAACGCGUGAGGAACCUGCCUUUCAGAGGGGGACAACAGUUGGAAACGACUGCUAAUACCGCAUGACACAUUGAGGUCGCAUGGCCUUAAUGUCAAAGAUUUAUCGCUGAAAGAUGGCCUCGCGUCUGAUUAGCUAGUUGGUGAGGUAACGGCCCACCAAGGCGACGAUCAGUAGCCGGACUGAGAGGUUGAACGGCCACAUUGGGACUGAGAUACGGCCCAGACUCCUACGGGAGGCAGCAGUGGGGAAUAUUGGGCAAUGGGCGCAAGCCUGACCCAGCAACGCCGCGUGAAGGAAGAAGGCUUUCGGGUUGUAAACUUCUUUUGUCAGGGACGAGUAGAAGACGGUACCUGACGAAUAAGCCACGGCUAACUACGUGCCAGCAGCCGCGGUAAUACGUAGGUGGCAAGCGUUAUCCGGAUUUACUGGGUGUAAAGGGCGUGCAGCCGGGAGGGCAAGUCAGAUGUGAAAUCCACGGGCUUAACUUGUGAACUGCAUUUGAAACUGUUCUUCUUGAGUAUCGGAGAGGCAAUCGGAAUUCCUAGUGUAGCGGUGAAAUGCGUAGAUAUUAGGAGGAACACCAGUGGCGAAGGCGGAUUGCUGGACGACAACUGACGGUGAGGCGCGAAAGCGUGGGGAGCAAACAGGAUUAGAUACCCUGGUAGUCCACGCUGUAAACGAUGAAUACUAGGUGUGCGGGGACUGACCCCCUGCGUGCCGCAGUUAACACAAUAAGUAUCCCACCUGGGGAGUACGACCGCAAGGUUGAAACUCAAAGGAAUUGACGGGGGUCCGCACAAGCAGUGGAGUAUGUGGUUUAAUUAGAAGCAACGCGAAGAACCUUACCUGGGCUUGACAUCCCUGGAAUCGAGUAGAGAUACUUGAGUGCCUUCGGGAAUCAGGUGACAGGUGGUGCAUGGUUGUCGUCAGCUCGUGUCGUGAGAUGUUGGGUUAAGUCCCGCAACGAGCGCAACCCCUAUUGUCAGUUGCCAUCAUUAAGUUGGGCACUCUGGCGAGACUGCCGGUGACAAAUCGGAGGAAGGUGGGGACGACGUCAAAUCAUCAUGCCCCUUAUGCCCAGGGCUACACACGUACUACAAUGGCCGAUAACAAAGUGCAGCGAAACCGUGAGGUGGAGCGAAUCACAAAACUCGGUCUCAGUUCAGAUUGCAGGCUGCAACUCGCCUGCAUGAAGUUGGAAUUGCUAGUAAUCGCGGAUCAGAAUGCCGCGGUGAAUACGUUCCCGGGCCUUGUACACACCGCCCGUCACACCAUGAGAGUCGAUAACACCCGAAGCCUGUGAGCUAACCUUUUAGGAGGCAGCAGUCGAAGGUGGGGUUGAUGAUUGGGGUGAAGUCGUAACAAGGUA
rnacentral:rRNA from 1 species